UACGAAGGGUGCAAGCGUUAUUCGGAAUAAUUGGGCGUAAAGGGUGCGUAGGCGGAAUGCUAAGUCAACUGUUUAAUUUCCCGGCCUAACUGGGAGCAAGCGGUAGAUACUGGCGUUCUUGAGGGUGGAAGAGAGAAGUGGAAUUCUCGGAGUAGCGGUAAAAUGCGUAGAUCUCGAGAGGAACACCGAUGGCGAAGGCAGCUUCUUGGUCCACAUCUGACGCUCAUGCACGAAAGCGUGGGGAGCAAACAGG
rnacentral:rRNA from 1 species